rnacentral:rRNA from 1 species
AGUGAACGCUGGCGGUAGGCCUAACACAUGCAAGUCGAACGGCAGCACAGUAAGAGCUUGCUCUUACGGGUGGCGAGUGGCGGACGGGUGAGGAAUACAUCGGAAUCUACUUUUUCGUGGGGGAUAACGUAGGGAAACUUACGCUAAUACCGCAUACGACCUGCGGGUGAAAGCAGGGGAUCUUCGGACCUUGCGCGAUUGAAUGAGCCGACGUCGGAUUAGCUAGUUGGCGGGGUAAAGGCCCACCAAGGCGACGAUCCGUAGCUGGUCUGAGAGGAUGAUCAGCCACACUGGAACUGAGACACGGUCCAGACUCCUACGGGAGGCAGCAGUGGGGAAUAUUGGACAAUGGGCGCAAGCCUGAUCCAGCUAUACCGCGUGGGUGAAGAAGGCCUUCGGGUUGUAAAGCCCUUUUGUUGGGAAAGAAAAGCAGCAGGUUAAUACCCCGCUGUUCUGACGGUACCCAAAGAAUAAGCACCGGCUAACUUCGUG